AGGUCUCAAACUAAAGGUAUUUGGAUAGGUACAUGUGCUGAAAUUGAGCCUUCUGCACUGGGUUUGGAGGAUAUUGAUGGAAGACAAAGAGGAGAGGAUGAUCUGCAUUUGAGAAGCACAAUGCCCUUUUUUCUCUUGCUAUAUGGUGUAUGUCAGAUGUUGUCCUUAUAAACAUUUUAUAAUGCGGUUGUGCAGUCCGUGUAAAACAAGGACACCACUGGAAAAUAUAGAACCUGUUCUGGGGGAAGAUAUUCAGAAGGUUGAGGUUACAGCUCGUAACAGUUAUGAGUAAAAGGAAGAGCAAUUCAAGGAACAGGUGGCUGCUCGUAGCCAGCGAUUCUACCAUUCUAUUGCUCCUGGUGGACUUGGUGGAGAUCGAAGGGCUGUUCCUGCAUCAGGGUUUUCUUUUUGUGCAUAACAAAUAUGGAAAAUUAUCAAGGAGAACAAGGAUUUGACCUUCCUGCUCACAAGCUAGUCCAAUCUGCAUAUCCUGACAGACGCGGGUUUAAAACAUGGGAGGGCUAUUGUGGUGUCAACAUGUGCUGCUGUCGCAUCCAUUGUGACUGGUGUACUUGCUGGCAUGUUCGCUUUAGGUGAACAAUUGCCUUCAGCUCCAGCUGCUCGCCUUCUCCUUUUGCUUGGAUGGGUAUGCAUCAUCUUUGCUGUGAUUCUACUGGUGAGUUCAAGAAGGUUGAUUCAGCACCUUCCACGGACCCUCCGACGUCUUGUACGCAGUAGCACAGAGAGGAGUAACAACCUCCGACGCUCAAGUUCAGUGCGAACAAGAGAGUCAAAUCCAAGUGCUGUCAUCCAAGCAACCACACUGCAUCAUCUGUUAACGACGACUACUGCAAAGGAGAAGGCCUGAAAAAGAAGUGACUGAAUUGCAAAUUGCAACAAAGGUACGAUUAAAUGUCAACGUAUUUUGGUUAUGACUUAGGGUUGCCAAUAGGAAUGUGAACAAGUAGAUAUCUAAUUCGGUGUACCCUUCGAGAAGAAACAGAUCCAAAACAAAGGCUGAUUGAUUUUGUUGAGCGUGUACAGCAUUAUCAUUCCUAAUAGAUGAUUUAUUUUUGAUCAUGAUAAAUUUCUCUUUGUUUUGGUUUCCUCGGUACUGAUUUGGUAUUGUGUGUUUGGAUUUAUUGUAAGAAACCAGAGAAAUUUGAGCAUACACAAUAUGA